rnacentral:rRNA from 1 species
AUUGAACGCUGGCGGCAGGCCUAACACAUGCAAGUCGAGCGGAUGAAGGGAGCUUGCUCCUGGAUUCAGCGGCGGACGGGUGAGUAAUGCCUAGGAAUCUGCCUGGUAGUGGGGGAUAACGUCCGGAAACGGGCGCUAAUACCGCAUACGUCCUGAGGGGGAAAGUGGGGGAUCUUCGGACCUCACGCUAUCAGAUGAGCCUAGGUCGGAUUAGCUAGUUGGUGGGGUAAAGGCCUACCAAGGCGACGAUCCGUAACUGGUCUGAGAGGAUGAUCAGUCACACUGGAACUGAGACACGGUCCAGACUCCUACGGGAGGCAGCAGUGGGGAAUAUUGGACAAUGGGCGAAAGCCUGAUCCAGCCAUGCCGCGUGUGUGAAGAAGGUCUUCGGAUUGUAAAGCACUUUAAGUUGGGAGGAAGGGCAGUAAGUUAAUACCUUGCUGUUUUGACGUUACCAAAAGAAUAAGCACCGGCUAACUUCGUG